AUGGACUAUGAUAGCCACAUGCAGAUUCAUCCUGGUGUCGGCGUUGAAGAUGCAAAUGCAGAGGAUUUAUCAGCAUGUGUCGAGGAUGAAGGAAAGAUGCCAGCAAAAGACAAGAAGCUUAGAGGUUCACAGGAGGGUUUGGAUAAAAGAAGGAAGGAUGCCUCAGCAAGGAGAUUGUCAGCGUCCAAAGGCCCACUAACUGAUGCGCAGAAACGUGCACAAAACCUACGCGCCUAUAAAGCGGGCCUACAAAAGGAAAAGAAGGAGCUGUGA
rnacentral:rRNA from 1 species